rnacentral:rRNA from 1 species
CAGUCUGCAUGGAGCCGGCCUUGAAAUACCACCCUUUAAUGUUUGAUGUUCUAACGUGGACCCGUGAUCCGGGUUGCGGACAGUGUCUGGUGGGUAGUUUGACUGGGGCGGUCUCCUCCUAAAGAGUAACGGAGGAGCACGAAGGUUGGCUAAUCCUGGUCGGACAUCAGGAGGUUAGUGCAAUGGCAUAAGCCAGCUUGACUGCGAGCGUGACGGCGCGAGCAGGUGCGAAAGCAGGUCAUAGUGAUCCGGUGGUUCUGAAUGGAAGGGCCAUCGCUCAACGGAUAAAAGGUACUCCGGGGAUAACAGGCUGAUACCGCCCAAGAGUUCAUAUCGACGGCGGUGUUUGGCACCUCGAUGUCGGCUCAUCACAUCCUGGGGCUGAAGUAGGUCCCAAGGGUAUGGCUGUUCGCCAUUUAAAGUGGUACGCGAGCUGGGUUUAGAACGUCGUGAGACAGUUCGGUCCCUAUCUGCCGUGGGCGCUGGAGAACUGAGGGGGGCUGCUCCUAGUACGAGAGGACCGGAGUGGACGCAUCACUGGUGUUCGGGUUGUCAUGCCAAUGGCACUGCCCGGUAGCUAAAUGCGGAAGAGAUAAGUGCUGAAAGCAUCUAAGCACGAAACUUGCCCCGAGAUGAGUUCUCCCUGAGACUUUAGGUCUCCUGAAGGAACGUUGAAGACGACGACGUUGAUAGGCCGGGUGUG